CUGGCAUCUCCAACACGUUGGUGGCGUAGUGGGGAAAAUCCUAUGUAAUAGUACGGGUGUUCGAUACCACAUGGAAAGCAGUUUGUAGUUCACCUCUUGAUAGUGAGAGCUGGAGGAGCUUUUGUGCUGCCAUAUCAAGGCCUUGUCCCAUUGUGCUGGUGUAAAGGGUUUAGCCAUGGCUCGUUCCCAGUGUCGUUUGAAGAGGUUGUUUUC